rnacentral:lncRNA from 1 species
CUCAAGAAAAGCAUCAGGAAGCGUCUUUCCCCAAAAGCAGGUUCGGCUCUUCGCGCUCUCUUUUCUUUGCCUAGAGGUUAGCAGUGCCCGGAACACGCGCGGGGCUCUCUUCGCUGCUCUGCGCGCCCCCUACCAGCCCACGGCGGGGGUGGCGCUGGGGGUAGGGGCUCUGGCAGUACGCGAGACUCCCGUUUCUCCAGUUGGUGCAGCUCCCCUGGCUCGGUACUUGGUAUCUCCCAGGGUCUUGCUCUAGCUGGGAAGCCGGGAAGGAGAAGGCGACCGUGGGCGUCGCCGCCGCCCUUCCCGGAACCGGAGCCAAACUCCAAUAGGGCGCCAACGCCUUCCUCUUAAGCCUCACAUCUGGCGCGGCCGUGCAGAGGUUGGCGGCCGGAGAGCUCCUGCACGCGAGGCACCUCAAGUCCCGAGCAUGCCCAGAACCGGCUGAGACGCCUGAAGUCCUGGGCACCGGCGGCGCCCGGCGGGGCUGAGCACCUGGCAAGGGGGCGGGGGACCGCACCUGGGGACGCCACCGAAACUUGCGCCUGGACUAGGAAUUACAAGAGUGACCUUUAUUCAGCUGUCUCCUUUUUGAUUCCCAUAACUUCUGGAUCUAUCAAGGUGGUCAUUCAAGGUCAAGCAUCUCUCUGUAACUUGGAACCAGCCAAGUGCAUAACCUGAUGAGUUCAGACUCCAAUGCUUUCAAUCUGGCACCCUUCAUGAGCAGUGAAGCUUGAAGAUUAAACAACAGUGUCGUAUCUGACUGAAGCUAACAGCCUCAAACAAAACUGGUUAUGGAGAUUUGAUUAUAGCAAAAUGGAAUUCAGCAUUCCAUGGUCAUUUAAAUAUUACCUACUAUGCACUUUUAUCUGUCUUCAAUUAUUUGUAUCUCAUUUCACAGACGCAUUAAAGAUAACCUCAC